rnacentral:rRNA from 1 species
AUUGAACGCUGGCGGCAGGCCUAACACAUGCAAGUCGAACGAGCGGCGGACGGGUGAGUAAUGUCUGGGGAUCUGCCCGAUAGAGGGGGAUAACUACUGGAAACGGUGGCUAAUACCGCAUACUAUCGGAUGUACCCAUAUGGGAUUAGCUAGUAGGUGGGGUAAAGGCUCACCUAGGCGACGAUCCCUAGCUGGUCUGAGAGGAUGACCAGCCACACGGGGACUGAGACACGGCCCAGACUCCUACGGGAGGCAGCAGUGGGGAAUAUUGCACAAUGGGCGCAAGCCUGAUGCAGCCAUGCCGCGUGUAUGAAGAAGGCCUUCGGGUUGUAAAGUACUUUCAGCGAGGAGGCGUUACCCGCAGAAGAAGCACCGGCUAACUCCGUGCCAGCCGCCGCGGUAAUUC